CAAAAUGCAAUAAUAAGUUCAAGUCUUCAACUUCAAGCAUAAGACAUAAGAAAUAGAUAGAUAGAUAAUAAUGCUAGUCCUCCUCAUCAACAUCCACGUAGUCAUCAUCUUCAUCAUCAUCCAAAGGAGCAAACCCUUCUUCCUCUUCUCCUUCGGAUUCCUCAUCAAUAUCAUCAGUCUCAUCCUCAUCAUCAAGUUCUUCAUCCUAGUGUUUAAAUGAAAUAAACUGCUAUAAAAAUUAAAAAAACAACUAAAAAACGAAAAAUAACUAAAAAAACCAAAAAAAAUGGACCUACCUGAGGUCGCCGGAGAUCGCCGGAGCUCGCCGGAGCAGUGGGUCGCCGGUGCGUCGCCGGAGCAGUGGUCGCCGGUCCGAGAAUCAGAGGAGGCGCCGCUGAGCAGUUUCAAGUUUGAAGUUUGAAC
rnacentral:lncRNA from 1 species